UACGAAGGGGGCUAGCGUUGUUCGGAAUUACUGGGCGUAAAGCGUGCGCAGGCGGUCCCGCAAGUCCGCUGUGAAAGCCCCGGGCUUAACCUGGGAAUGGCAGUGGAAACUAUGGGACUUGAAUCUGGCAGAGGGGGGUGGAAUGCCACGUGUAGCAGUGAAAUGCGUAGAGAUGAGGCGGAACACCGAUGGCGAAGGCAGCCCCCUGGGCUGAGAUUGACGCUCAGGCACGAAAGCGUGGGGAGCAAACAGG
rnacentral:rRNA from 1 species